rnacentral:rRNA from 1 species
GACAGAGGGGGCAAGCGUUGCUCGGAAUCACUGGGCGUAAAGGGCGCGUAGGCGGGAUGGCAAGUCAGUCGUGAAAUCUCUCGGCUCAACCGAGAAACGUCGGCUGAUACUGCCGUUCUUGAGGGAUGCAGAGGAGACUGGAAUUCCCGGUGUAGCGGUGAAAUGUGUAGAGAUCGGGAGGAACACCGGUGGCGAAGGCGGGUCUCUGGGCAUCUCCUGACGCUGAGGCGCGAAAGCGUGGGGAGCAAACGGGG